rnacentral:sRNA from 1 species
UGAGGAGGCACCAUCAUGACGAAGUCAUGAUUUGGAAUGGCGCCGCCGACCUGCCGCCGACUGAUAGGGAGGGGGCAAAACAUUA